GGCGGACGGGUGAGUAACGCGUGGGAAUGUGCCCUUCUCUACGGAAUAGCCACUGGAAACGGUGAGUAAUACCGCAUACGCCCUCAGGGGGAAAGAUUUAUCGGAGAAGGAUCAGCCCGCGUUAGAUUAGGUAGUUGGUGGGGUAACGGCCUACCAAGCCUACGAUCUAUAGCUGGUUUUAGAGGAUGAUCAGCCACACUGGGACCGAGACACGGCCCAGACUCCUACGGGAGGCAGCAGUAGGGAAUCUUGGACAAUGGGGGCAACCCUGAUCCAGCCAUGCCGCGUGAGUGAAGAAGGCCCUAGGGUCGUAAAGCUCUUUCGCCUGUGAUGAUAAUGACAGUAGCAGGUAAAGAAACCCCGGCUAACUCCGUGCCAGCAGCCGCGGUAAUACGGAGGGGGUUAGCAUUGUUCGGAAUUACUGGGCGUAAAGCGCGC
rnacentral:rRNA from 1 species